AUAAAUAAAAUCUUUAAAAAAAAAAAAAAGGUGAGAAUUCAUAACUUGUUAGUUGGUACUCAUAAUGGCAAGGAGGUAAUAUGCCAAGGAAGAGGUUUCAGAGUGACUUUGGUGAAUGAGAAGAGGCUGUAAAUGGAAAUCCAGUAAGUUUGGAUUGAUCUAGUAAAUGCUGAUUAUUUCUCCUGAUACAAUGAAGCAACACUGCCUUCUGACUUUGUAUGUGGAAGUUUUUCCAAGGAGUUCCCAUCGGCUCUUGAAAAAUGGCUUUUGGCCAUUAAUUGUAUGUGAAUACUAUUAAUUGUAUAUUACGUAGUUAGUACAAUUACAUUUUGUAUCAUGGGAUGAUGUUUAAUCCUUUUUUUUUUUUGGAAAUGACAGUACUGUUCUGGAAUCUUACUCCACUGGAUAGAUUGAGAAGACAGCUGAAAAAUGGAAAUUGGGAAUUCAGUUUCUAGAUUUUAGAAUUUGAUUUGAAAUGGAUGAUUCUUACAUAAAAAUCUUUAAGGGCCUAGUAUAUGAUUUUUGCCUUGAUUUAUAUAAAAUGUGACAUAAUCUGACCACAUCCAAUUUUGUAUUACUGGGAUACUAGCUCUGUGGGCAUUGUUCAGAGAAACUACAUCACGUUUACUGAAUUGUCAGAAUUCUGAAGCAAAUUACAAGUGGUGAAUAAACAAUUUGGAGAAGGACUUGGGAGAGUAUGUAACGGGAGUGAAUUUUCUCAACUCUGUAAUGGCAUCUAAUUCAGCUGUGGAAAUUGACAGUGAAAGUGAUAGCUCUUCUUCUGGUAGCAGCUUAUUUAAAACUCAGUGUGUCUCACCUAAAAGGGUGCAAAGAAACCGUACUAGAAAGUUUGUUCAUUCACCUAAAGUUGCUCAAGCAAGGGAUUCAUCUAGUGACUCAUCUUUUGAACCAAGACCAUUGACUUUAAAAGCUAUUUUUGAGAGAUUCAAAAAAAGAAAACGUAAAAAGAAGAAAUACAAACCAACAGGAAGACCAAGAGGAAGACCAACCGGGAGAAAAAACAGUAGACGUUCCCAAAUAAAUAAGAAACAAGUUCAAGACAAAGGAUCUGGGUUCCCAUUUUUAGAAUCUGAGAAUGCAAGAAAACCAUUACCUUGGAGAAAAAUUUUAACCUUUGAGCAAGCAGUGGCAAGAGGAUUUUUCAACUACCUCGAAAAACUGAAGUAUGAAUACUACCUCAAGGAAUCCUUGAAACAAAUGAAUGUUGGUGAAGAUUUAGAAAAAGAAGAUUUUGACAGUCGUAGAUACAAAUACUUGGAUGAUGAUGGAGCUCUCUCGCCUAUUGAAGAGUCAGAAACAGAGGAUGGGUCUGCAACAAAUCUUGAACAAAAUGACGAAUGUGAUAUCAAAUUGGUGGACCAUAAUGAUUUCAUUAUAAGUUCUCAAGUACCAAAGAUGAAGAAUGUGUAUUUAGAACAAGAGGAACGUACUGAAGAAGCUGCUUUGUCUAAAAAGAGAGCAUCAAAGUCUAAAAACAUUGGACAGAGGAUAGAAUGGUCUGAAAAGAGAUAGGAAUAUGAAUGUUAAAGUAAACAGAAGAGAGAAAACAGCUUUUCAUAGAAAGUAAAGAUGAUAAAUACAAAUACAUAUGUUGGUGUAGUGAUAAAAGAGAACCUGCUAAGGAGAGAAGAAAAUCUGAACAAGUUAGUGAAACUCCUAAAGAAUUACUAGAAAAAAUAUUUUAAAACACAGUGAAAUUAUCACAGAAAAUUGAGGCUUGCAUAGCAGAAAUAAUCACUUGAGAAAUCAUAAACAGAAGAUCCAUUUUGCCUAUACUUGUUCGUUUCAGGGCUUUUCACUUGAACACAAUGUCUGGACUUAAAGGUACAUCUUACGCUUUAGGUGAGUGGAUCAGAUUUGUUGAAAUGUACUUUGUCAGUUCAUACCUCCACGGUUUCAUUACUAAAAGACAUUUUGCCAGUUUACAAUUUGACGUUUCAGAAAAAUGAAUUUUAGGGGCCACACAUUUUAUAGUGGAAGGUACAAGCUUCACUUUACUUGCAGGAAAGGGUUUCCACAAACUGUAAGUUACUUUAUAUUGAAAUAAUCAAAAUACUGGAUAUUUCUGUUUCAUGCAUUUAUUUUAAACUAAAGCAUAAUCUAAAAUAAGAUGUAGGAUUUAAUAGUGUAAUGUUAGAAAUGAUUAGAGGACACAAGAUUACCUAAAUCUGAAUGAUGCAAAAUUUAAUUAAAAAGCACCCAAUUUGUUUAUCUUCCAAUGAUUUUCUGAAUGGGAAGAACAACAAUAUAGCCACCUUAAUAUUUUCCUGUAUUUUUCUAUAAGUUACAUCAAGUAAUGAUAGCUCUUAAGAUGAGGCAAAAAAUUAAACACUUUGCUGUAAUCUGCGGAUGUCCUAGACAAAACAAGCUGUGAUACUGGAGUUUGCCGAAAUCAAGACUUAGGUAUGGAAAUCUUCCUUUGGUGGUUCUCUAGUAGCUGUUUUGUACUUACCUUCAGUCUUUGGUCUUUAUUCUCAGUGUAGACUGACUCCUUCCUGUAAGCAUUUUAAAAACCCUUACUGUGUAAUAUGUGGAAUGAUUUCUUUUAAUUUGUAAAUAUUUGGCUUUUUGCACACCUUUGAACUCAGAGACUUAGAGCAAAUUACAGUUCUAAUUGUUUUUCCUGUGGAAUCUUCCAAUUUUAAACUAAACAGUGUUGAGGUCUAUCCCGAUGGGGCUUUUUCUGUAGACCUACAUCGUUGGAAACGCCUCAUAGAGUAUUUGUGUGGUUUCCUUUAUUCACAGAACUAUGUGUUAGAUCUGUGGGAAAGAACUACAAGACACUUACCCUUAUCUGCUAAAACUCUGACCUAAUAGUCAUAUUUUUUAAAUCUUAGGUAUUGGUGUAUCCCAACAAUCUGUACAGUUCUAGGGUGAUAGUUUAGGGGUGAAUAUGAUUUGAACUCAUUCACAUUUAGAGGGUGUUUGAAAUUGAGAACCAGGCAGAUCCACACUCAGACCCUAAACAGGGCCCUGAAGUAAAGACAUUGGAUACCAAAGAUUACAGGUGGGGAGUUCUUAAAGUAUGUCCGUAUUCAAAUGGAGAUGCAAGAAACCCAGCUGAAAGAACUCUGGCAAGUUAAUUCGCUGUUGUACUGUAUAAUGGUAUAAUGGUCAUUACCAAGGCUUUGAGAAUGCAGUUUCUCAUUUGCUGUGGACAUGACCAUAAAAAAAUUUUCCAACUAGGUUUUCUUUCUUUCUGCUACUUUGGUGGUAGCAUUCAGCCUAUUGGGAACAUUUUACCAACUCUGUUCUAUUUCCAUUGCCUUAGAUUAGCACUAUCCAGUAUAAAUUUAACAGAAGCCAUACGUGAUUUGGUAAUGGUCCUAUUUCAGAUUCUCAUCUAAACAUACAUGGCUAGUAUACUGAACAGUGAAUGCCUAGAUCUCUAAGAGAUGUCUUUUGCUAACUCCUUCCAUAUUAAUAACAAGUUAGAAUAGAUUUAGUAGAGGGAGGCUGGCUUCAGUUUACAUGAUCAUCUCUGGAAUUGGAACCUUACUUUAUGUUCCUGUUAUAUAGGAGUGACAGUGACAACUGUGGAUUGAUCAAGUUCUUUUUAAAAGGGCCGUUUUGAAGAUUAUGAUUCUAACUUUGGAGGAACUAUGGUGAUGAGCAGUGACUGGCAGUGGAAGGAAUCACAUGUAAAAACUCCUUAAAUAAAAAUU